CGAAGGGGGCAAGCGUUGUUCGGAAUUACUGGGCGUAAAGGGCGCGUAGGCGGCUUAUCAAGUCAGGCGUGAAAUUCCCGGGCUCAACCUGGGGGCUGCGCUUGAUACUGAUGAGCUUGAAUGCGGGAGAGGAUAGUGGAAUUCCCAGUGUAGAGGUGAAAUUCGUAGAUAUUGGGAAGAACACCAGUGGCGAAGGCGGCUAUCUGGCCCGUAAUUGACGCUGAGGCGCGAAAGCGUGGGGAGCAAACAGGAUUUAGAUACCCUGGUAGUCCACGCCGUAAACGAUGAAUGCUAGACGUUGGCGAGCAUGCUCGUCAGUGUCGGAGCUAACGCAUUAAGCAUUCCGCCUGGGGAGUACGGUCGCAAGAUUA
rnacentral:rRNA from 1 species